rnacentral:rRNA from 1 species
UACAGAGGGUGCGAGCGUUAAUCGGAAUUACUGGGCGUAAAGCGUGCGUAGGUGGUUUAAUAAGUCAGAUGUGAAAUCCCCGGGCUCAACCUGGGAACUGCAUUUGAAACUAUUAGGCUAGAGUGUGGUAGAGGGAAGUGGAAUUUCCGGUGUAGCGGUGAAAUGCGUAGAUAUCGGAAGGAACAUCAGUGGCGAAGGCGACUUCCUGGACCAUAACUGACACUGAGGCACGAAAGCGUGGGGAGCAAACAGG